rnacentral:rRNA from 1 species
CCCGCCCGGGAAUUACGAGCUCAAACUUAAAACCCAAAGGACUUGACGGUGCCCCAAUCCCCCUAGAGGAGCCUGUGCUAUAAUCGACUACACCCGCUAAACCCAGCUGCUUUUAGACCCUCAGCUUGUAUACUUCCGUCGUAAGCUCACCAUGUUGAAAGACACACAGUGAGCCCCGGGACCUCAUCGUCAACACGUCAGGUCAAGGUGCAGCCAACAAAGCAGACAGUAAUGGGCUACAAUUUCUACAAUAGAACCCACGAAAAGCCAUAUGAAACACGGCCACGAAGCAGGAUUUAGAAGUAAAAAGAAAAUAAAGUGUUCUUUUUAACUAGGUUCUGGGGCACGUACAAACCGCCCGUCACCCUCUUCGUCAACAUAAAACAGCUAAAUAACCCAUAAACCCACCCCAGAA